rnacentral:rRNA from 1 species
UACGAAGGGGGCUAGCGUUGCUCGGAAUCACUGGGCGUAAAGGGUGCGUAGGCGGGUUUUUAAGUCAGGGGUGAAAUCCUGGAGCUCAACUCCAGAACUGCCUUUGAUACUGAAGAUCUUGAGUCCGGGAGAGGUGAGUGGAACUGCGAGUGUAGAGGUGAAAUUCGUAGAUAUUCGCAAGAACACCAGUGGCGAAGGCGACUUACUGGACACAUAUUGACGCUGAGGUGCGAAAGCGUGGGGAGCAAACAGG